CGGUAGGAUUCGUGACUGGGGUGAAGUCGUAACAAGGUAGCCGUAUCGGAAGGUGCGGCUGGAUCACCUCCUUUCUAGA
rnacentral:rRNA from 1 species